CCCUUAGAUGUUCUGGGCGGUCCGCGCACUACAAUGGCGUGUGCAGCGAGUGCCGAAGUAGAGUUUUCCGAGGUAUUCUUGCAAUGCUCGUUUUGAUGGGGAUAGACCCUUGCAACUGUUGGUUUUGAACGAGGAAUUCCUUGUAAGCAUGGUUUAUCAUCCGACGCUGAAUGCGUCCCUGCCCUUUGUACACACCGCCCGUCGCUCCUACCGAUGAGUCGUCCGGUGAAGUUCGUAGACCUCGUGAUUGCGGAUCACUGGGGGAAGCAAAAUGAACCUCGCGGUUUAGAGGAAGGAGAAGUCGUAACA
rnacentral:rRNA from 1 species